CACCGCGGCUAUACAGGAUGGCCCAAAUUGAUAGACAUCGGCGUAAAAAGUGGUCAUGAUCUUAUUAAAAUAAAGCCAAAUACCUUCAAUACUGUAAUACGCACCCGAAGACAAGAAGCUCAACUACGAAAGUGACUUUAGAAACUCUGGCCCCACGAAAGCUGUGACA
rnacentral:rRNA from 2 species